rnacentral:lncRNA from 1 species
AUAGCAUAAGAAUUAAAGAAAAAUCGUAUUAAGUAAAGGGAAAGUUAGAAGUUAUAAGAUUUCAAUUGAGGAGUCAUGUGAUAGCUGAGUUGUAUGAACCUCUGUUAUGGCCGGAGGUUUGUGCUUUGGUGUGACUACUACUUAGCUUAUUACAGUGAUAAUCAUUGGAAUAUGUCGCGUUAUCAAUAUGUAUAUGAUGAGAUG